rnacentral:rRNA from 1 species
CCUACGGGAGGCAGCAGUGGGGAAUAUUGGACAAUGGGCGAAAGCCUGAUCCAGCAAUGCCGCGUGAGUGAAGAAGGCCUUCGGGUUGUAAAGCUCUUUUACCCGGGAAGAUAAUGACUGUACCGGGAGAAUAAGCUCCGGCUAACUCCGUGCCAGCAGCCGCGGUAAUACGGAGGGAGCUAGCGUUGUUCGGAAUUACUGGGCGUAAAGCGUACGUAGGCGGCUUGGUAAGUCAGAGGUGAAAGCCCACGACUCAAUCGUGGAACUGCCUUUGAGACUGCUUCGCUUGAAGAUGGGAGAGGUUAGUGGAAUUCCGAGUGUAGAGGUGAAAUUCGUAGAUAUUCGGAAGAACACCAGUGGCGAAGGCGGCUAACUGGACCAUUCUUGACGCUGAGGUACGAAAGCGUGGGGAGCAAACAGGAUUAGAUACCCUGGUAGUCCACGCCGUAAACGAUGAUAACUAGCUGUCGGGGCUCUUGGAGCUUCGGUGGCGCAGCUACGCAUUAAGUUAUCCGUCCGUCGGGUAGGUACGGCCGCGAAGGUUAAACGUAACAAAGAAGUUAGACGGCGUGAGACGUGCCGAACGGACGACGACGAGGGAGUAGG